CCCUAGUAACGGCGAGUGAAGCGGCAACAGCUCAAAUUUGAAAUCUGGCCUUCGGGUCCGAGUUGUAAUUUGUAGAGGAUGCUUUUGGCGCGGUGCCUUCCGAGUUCCCUGGAACGGGACGCCUUAGAGGGUGAGAGCCCCGUACGGUUGGACACCAAGCCUCUGUAAAGCUCCUUCGACGAGUCGAGUAGUUUGGGAAUGCUGCUCUAAAUGGGAGGUAAAUUUCUUCUAAAGCUAAAUAUUGGCCAGAGACCGAUAGCGCACAAGUAGAGUGAUCGAAAGAUGAAAAGCACUUUGAAAAGAGGGUUAAAUAGCACGUGAAAUUGUUGAAAGGGAAGCGUUUGCGACCAGACUUUUUCCUAGCGGAUCAUCCGGUGUUAUCACCGGUGCACUUCGCUAGGUUAAGGCCAGCAUCGGUUUCUGUAGGGGGAUAAAAGCUUGGGGAAUGUAGCUCCCUCGGGAGUGUUAUAGCCCCUCGCAUAAUACCCUUACGGGGACCGAGGACCGCGCUUUUGCAAGGAUGCUGGCGUAAUGGUUGUCAACGACCCGUCUUGAAACACGGACCAAGGAGUCGAACAUUUGUGCGAGUGUUUGGGUGUUAAACCCUCACGCGUAAUGAAAGUGAACGGAGGUGAGAGCCCUUACGGGUGCAUCAUCGACCGAUCCUGAUGUCUUCGGAUGGAUUUGAGUAAGAGCAUAACUGUUCGGACCCGAAAGAUGGUGAACUAUGCGUGGAUAGGGUGAAGCCAGAGGAAACUCUGGUGGAGGCUCGCAGCGGUUCUGACGUGCAAAUCGAUCGUCAAAUCUGCG
rnacentral:rRNA from 1 species